rnacentral:rRNA from 1 species
CCUACGGGUGGCUGCAGUGGGGAAUAUUGGGCAAUGGAGGCAACUCUUACCCAGCAAUGCCGCGUGAAUGAAGAAGGUCUUCGGAUUGUAAAGUUCUUUAAUUGGGGACGAACAAAAUGACGGUACCCAAGGAAUAAGCCCCGGCUAACUACGUGCCAGCCGCCGCGGUAAUACGUAGGUGGCAAGCGUUAUCCGGAUUUACUGGGUGUACAGGGCGUGUAGGCGGGAGUGCAAGUCAGAUGUGAAAACUAUGGGCUCAACCCAUAGCCUGCAUUUGAAACUGUACUUCUUGAGUGCUGGAGAGGCAAGCGGAAUUCCGUGUGUAGCGGUGAAAUGCGUAGAUAUACGGAGGAACACCAGUGGCGAAGGCGGAUUGCUGGACAGUAACUGACGCUGAGGCGCGAAAGCGUGGGGAGCAAACAGGAUUAGAUACCCGAGUAGUC